rnacentral:miRNA from 2 species
AUCGCUGCGGUUGCGAGCGCUGU